rnacentral:lncRNA from 1 species
GAGUAAUCAUCUAACCAGAAAGAUUGAGAAGCGUGUGCAAGUUCGUACACUGGACUCCCACAUUGAAGAGCAGUUUGGGGGUGGUAGAUUGUUGGCCUGCAUAUCUUCCCGUCCUGGACAAUGUGGAAGAGCUGAUGGGUACAUCUUGGAAGGUAAGGAGCUUGAGUUCUACAUGAAGAAGCUCCAGAGGAAGAAGGGGAAGGGUGCCUCCACUGCCUAAGCAGUUCAUUCAACAGGCUUUAUCUUUUUGACUAUUUUGUGAAACCUAUCGCUAGCCGGGUCCUUUGUUAUUUAUAUGUUAUUGUGCUAGACAUCUAGUCAUAGUAAUUUAUUGCUCAAUUUAGUGUAGAGUUUGGAUUUUAAUAGAAGUCUGUUCGGACUUCUUCCUGUCACUCCAAACUUCCUUAAACAAUGUAGAAGUAUUAUG